rnacentral:ncRNA from 1 species
AGGUCUCGCGCACCAGCGGAUCGGCGAAGUUCGCCAGCUGGAACGGGUCGAAAUAGCCGCCCGGGUUGGCGGUCAUCCACGAAUAGAUCCGGCUCGAUCCCAACCAUUGCAGCAGCAGGUAGGCCGCCUCGGGAUGCUCGGAUUGCGACGACACCGAGGCCGAGAGGUUCAGCCACAGGACCGUCCGGCGGACCAGGCCGCCGUCGUGUUCGCGGCCCGGGGGCAGGUGGCUG